AGAUUGAGGCUCGCUGGAUAGAGUGCUUAGUUGUUAACUAAGUUUUUGCGGGAUCGAGGCCCGUCGGUCUAG
rnacentral:tRNA from 1 species